AGCAUUAAUUUAGAUCCAGCCCUUGUGGAUCUUCUUGGCUCAUUGAUGGAGUCCUGUAGGUCCCUCUCACUGGACCUCAUUGCAGACUGGAUUGUGAGCCUCCUAGGAAAACCAAAAAAAAGGGAUUUUAUAAAGCUCCUGGCAAGGUGACCCCCCUGUCCUGACUGAGGUGUAGGCAAAUACCAUCAUAAGACAAACAAAAGGAAAAUAAGUUUGACUUCAAAUAGUCCUUGAAGCCGGUUCUUACAGCACCUCAUCAGUAUUUGCCCGUGUAAGGUGACACUGUCAGGCUGCUUUGCUUUGUGUUAGCGGCACGUUUGGUGAUGGUUCCUUGCUCUUGUGAUCUAUCGUGGAUCUUGUGAUAUUUGUUGCUUUCUAAAAGCCUGGAUGUUUGUGGUCACAUGAGAAUCUGAGCCAUCGGUUUUUAUGCUGUUUCUAGGCCUCAUGGUCACAGGGAAAUGGUUAAGGCCCUCCAUGGUGAACCUGAAGACAAGGAUAUCAGAAAACAAAUAGACCUUCAGUUUUCUAGGGAAAAAAAAAAAAAUACUGCACCACGCUGAGGUUAUGGACAGCUUUGGAAAGUCCAGCACUGAAUUUCUGCUGUGGUUGCCCCCCUCUCAAUCAGUAUGGGACUUCCCCCACCUCGGCCCACAAUUUUUAGCUCUCCUAAUGGGGUAUCAGCCUAGUCAAGAGCUCCUAGUCAAGAUUUCCUACACCUUCUGAGGGCAGGGUGGAUGACACCAAAUCCAG